AGAGUUUGAUCCUGGCUCAGGACGAACGCUGGCGGCGUGCUUAACACAUGCAAGUCGAGCGGUAAGGCCCUUCGGGGUACACGAGCGGCGAACGGGUGAGUAACACGUGGGUGACCUGCCCCCAACUCUGGGAUAAGCCCGGGAAACUGGGUCUAAUACCGGAUAUGACCACAUGUCGCAUGGUGUGUGGUGGAAAGUUUUUCGGUUGGGGAUGGGCCCGCGGCCUAUCAGCUUGUUGGUGGGGUGAUGGCCUACCAAGGCGACGACGGGUAGCCGGCCUGAGAGGGCGACCGGCCACACUGGGACUGAGACACGGCCCAGACUCCUACGGGAGGCAGCAGUGGGGAAUAUUGCGCAAUGGGCGAAAGCCUGACGCAGCGACGCCGCGUGGGGGAUGACGGCCUUCGGGUUGUAAACCUCUUUCGCCAGGGACGAAGCGCAAGUGACGGUACCUGGAUAAGAAGCACCGGCCAACUACGUGCCAGCAGCCGCGGUAAUACGUAGGGUGCGAGCGUUGUCCGGAAUUAUUGGGCGUAAAGAGCUCGUAGGCGGUCUGUCGCGUCGGUCGUGAAAACUUGGGGCUUAACCCUGAGCUUGCGGUCGAUACGGGCAUGACUGGAGUUCGGCAGGGGAGACUGGAAUUCCUGGUGUAGCGGUGAAAUGCGCAGAUAUCAGGAGGAACACCGGUGGCGAAGGCGGGUCUCUGGGCCGAUACUGACGCUGAGGAGCGAAAGCGUGGGGAGCGAACAGGAUUAGAUACCCUAGUAGUCC
rnacentral:rRNA from 1 species